AUUUCUAUAACUAUUUAUAUAGUUUAAUAAAAAAACAUUACAUUUUCAGUGUGAAAUUAAAUCUUAUUUUAUAA
rnacentral:tRNA from 1 species